rnacentral:tRNA from 1 species
AGGGAUGUAGUUAAUUAUAACAUUUGAUUUGCAUUCAAAAAGUAUUGCUAAACAAUCUUCCUUA